CGGCCUUCGCGCAUCAUGCUGCUGCGGGAGUGGCAGGAGCUGGAGGCCGAAUUCCAGGAGCUGCAGGAAACUCACAAGGUCUAUAGACAGAAACUGGAAGAACUUAAUAACCUGCAGACUGCAUGCAGCAGCUCCAUACAUAAACAGAAGAGGAAAUUAAAAGACUUGAAAUAUAGCCUCCAAAGGUGCAAACGGGCAGCUGGUCCUGAAGAAUCUGACCUCAUCCAGCAAAUAAAUACCCAAAUUAAAGAGAGGCAAAAUGUUUUCUUUGAUAUGGAAGCCUAUUUGCCAAAGAAAAAUGGUUUGUACUUAAAUCUGGUGCUGGGAAAUGUGAAUGUAACUCUUCUGAGUAAUCAGGCAAAGUUUGCCUACAAAGAUGAAUAUGAGAAAUUCAAACUUUAUUUGACAAUAAUCUUGUUACUUGGUGCUGUAGCAUGCAGGUUUAUUCUUCAUUACAGGGUGACAGAUGAAGUGUUUAACUUCUUGUUGGUGUGGUAUUAUUGCACGUUGACGAUAAGGGAAAGUAUUCUCAUCAGUAAUGGAUCAAGGAUUAAGGGCUGGUGGGUGUCUCAUCAUUAUGUUUCCACGUUUCUAUCUGGAGUGAUGUUAACAUGGCCGGAUGGACUCAUGUAUCAAAUGUUUCGCAAUCAAUUUUUAGCAUUUUCAAUUUUUCAAAGCUGUGUUCAGUUCCUACAAUAUUAUUACCAAAGUGGCUGCCUUUAUAGACUUCGUGCAUUAGGGGAAAGAAACCACUUGGAUCUUACAGUAGAAGGAUUUCAGUCUUGGAUGUGGCGAGGGCUGACGUUUCUCCUUCCCUUCCUGUUCUUUGGGCACUUUUGGCAGCUGUAUAACGCAGUCACACUUUUUGGACUGUCUAGGCAUAAGGAAUGCAAAGAAUGGCAGGUUUUUGUCCUGGCUCUUACGUUUCUGCUGCUUUUCCUUGGAAACUUCCUUACUACUUUAAAGGUUGUGCACACUAAACUUCAGAAAAACAAAGGCAAAAUGAAGAAAUUGUGAAACUCAGGCAGGGAUGGACAGUCAAACUUGGAUUCUCAUCUGCCUACUCCUACUGGUGGUUCCUUUUUUUCAGACCGGACCAUUUAAACUGCAGCUAUAUUGCAAACAAACCUUGGAAAGAAUCCUGUUGGUGUUAUAAGAACAUGAACUCUCCCAGCACAGCCUGCUGUACAGUAUUAUGCAAGCACUGCUCUCCAAUCUGCAGUCCUACUAUUUAUAUAUAUUUAAUACAGAACAUUUUUGCUUUUUGUUUUGUUUUGUUUGUGUGUAUACAGCAGCAUGCACCUGCCAGAAGAAAUAUAAGUAUUGGGAGAAAGUGACGUCUACUGUAAUUCCAUUUUUGGUAAUGAUCUUCACAUUUUUUUCCUGUCCAGCACCAUUUCUGGAGCCCCAGGUCUGUUUUGCAGCCGAUGAGUACUAAGGGGAUGCCCCGGCAGAAGUGACUGACUUCAGGAUACCACUGGUGGCAGAAAAAGAAACAUUUAAAAAAAGUUAGAAUGAUAAUGCCAAGGAACAAAGUCCGUGUGUUAUGUACAUCUAAAGUCCAGAAAGGACUCUUCUUCCUGGGCCCAUGUUCUGGCCCUUUCGAAAUACUAAGAAAUCAGUCCCUCCUACGCCUUCAAUUACAUUUUUUCUCAAGGCUUGAUGGCAAUCAUCAUUCUGGCCACACAGAACUGGAAGGGACUUCAUGUGGAGACUGAUAGUGUCACUCCUUAAUCAGCCAGACUGGGCACCCAGAGCGAUAAGACGCUGAACAUGCCCUUUUACCAAGCUGUGUACUCAGAGAUAGCCUUGGAGUGAGAAACCUGCAUCAGAAAUUGCAUCCAAAUGUCCUGAACUACAGCAGAAAGCAUCGGCACUAUUGGAUGUUCCUUUACUUGACUGUCAGGUACGGGACAAAAAGGAGAUUUAAUUGAAUAAGCAGUUGCAAUGCACUUCUGCAGGAGAAACAAUAGCUAUUACAAACGCUGUGCAGGUUACAGUGCACUGACCACUAACUUCCUGCUAGAGCAGGAAGAUAUUUCUGACAAGGAAGAUCACGGAGCAAGUGGCACGCGAUAAUACAGCAUCUUGUAAGCAACCUAAGUUCUAGCCAGUGCUAGUCCAAGUUAUGAUUCUUACUUAUUCCUAAAAUGCUUACAUAAAGUUAAACCUCCUCUCAGCUUGAAUUAUACACAUGGAAAAUAUAUUUCAUGGGGAUAUUUCUCCUCCGAUGUUACUUCUAGCACAAGGGUAGGCAACGCCUAGCACAGGUGCCAGAGCAUGACACGUGAAUGCAUUUUGCUUGGCACACAUGCCUUGGGUAGAUGGCAGGGAAGGGGCCGGGGCUGCGCUGCCACAAAACGGAUCGUCCCCUUCGCAACUCCCCCACUAUCCUCCCCUGGCACACCACCAUCUUACAAGUUGAGCUUGGGGGUGUUUUUGGCAUUCUGGCCAAAAACAUUGCUAAGCCCUGGUCUAAUAUUUCUAUACAACCCUGCUGUUCAUGUCUUCCUCUCAAUGGGCGAGAGAACAGCUUAGAGAUCUCACCAUCAGGUCAGAAUGCAGUCCUUGAAACACCUGGCAGAGUUGAAUCAGGCUUCAUCUUUCAGAGGGAGUAAGAUACAUGCAGCUCAAUUUAAUGUACAAGGGUGUCUUGGAAAGCACCUAUAAAACCUGAGGUCCUCCACGCUCUAUGCUACUGCUGGAAAAUGGGGAUUUCCUUCAUUAUUUCCACCCUCGAUUGCGGGAUGUAUCUGUUAGUUGCAGCCCUUCAACCCCGAGAUGACUGAUUUUGAACUUCGUGAAGUUCCUUCCAAAUGAAAAGCACUUCAGAAAUUAAGACUCUUAUUAAAGUAUCUUUCUGGUUGUGCACUUUGGUUGCCAUCGUGUGCUAGACAAAAUAGCUUCUGCAUUUCUAACUCCUGCUUAAGGAUGAGGAGGGAAAAAGAAAAAAAUGUUCAAAACUAGGUAGUUAUUUAUAGAGUAGCUUUUACUAAGUCUCAAUGUUUUGUUUCAUUAAAUAAAAAUCCGUGUCUUCCCUAAUACAUUAUUAGGGAAUGAAACAGCUCCAACAUUAUUUAAGUUAGUACUUGAAUGCCUCUAUUUAUCUUCCUUUUCACUGGACAGGAUAGAAAUCUCCCAUCAUAACCUUGCUAUCAUUUGUGACACAGAAGUUGGCUAUUUUCGUAUUUAUAGAAGGAUCUAGGGAGUCUGGGCUCAUCAAUCUCAAAUUCUUGUAACUAUUUGAAUCUUUUCAGACAAGCUCUUCCAUGACCCUAGUAACAGUUUAUUUUAAAGCCAUCAUGUUUAAAAUAGAGUGGGGGGUUUUCUUCAGAUAAGUCCUACUAAUCUUAUGUUAGCUAAACACUUCCUACACUUCUAUAUUGAAAAGAGAAAACACCCACUGGCUGACAUCCUCCGCUUCAAGUGUUAACCUCUUCCUUAGUAUCAAAAAUGUUAAUUAUACACACUUUGGGUCUUUGAACUGCCUUGGACUUGUACAUACUACCUCAGUGUAAAUGUAAAAUGUAAUAAUACAGUUCCAGAGGCAUUAAAUGGUUACCCAUUGCCUAAUUACUAGUUUAAAUAGAAAAUGAGGCACAUUUUCCUUCUCACAUGGAUAAAGUGUAUUUAUGGUGUAUGUGUAGUGUAUUCUCAUCUUCUCUGGAAUUGUGUUCUUUAUAAAAAUCUACUUUGACAUCAGAAAAAUAAUUUAUUAUCACUGAUGUGCUUUACAUCAGAGAUAUCUGAGAUAAACAGGGAAAACCCCCCCAAGGGUGAGUAAGUUUGCAGAUGUAAGCCCCAGACUAAUUCAGCUCAUUGCUAUUCAAAGCAGAUGACUGACACUGUUCAGUCCAUAUCUAGAAGGACUUUCCUACUGGCUUUGAGACAAUUUAAAGGGAACAACUAUCCAGUGGUUAGGUCAACUUCCUGAGCAAGUCACUUAGGCUCUCUAUGCCUUAUCCCUUUGUUACAGAUGGUGUUUCUGUACCUCACGGUAGUGUUGUAUGAAUAAAUGCAUUAAAGGUUGUGAAGCACUCAGAUAUUACAGCCAUGGGGCCAUAUAAAUAGCUAAGAAAGACAGUCUAACUUUACUAAUGCAGCUUAAAAAAUGGCAUACCCAUAGAUGCCCCAAUCAUAAUAAAAUGGAGCGAGGAGAAUUUUCGAAGUAUCAAGUGAGAUUGGAUACCCGUCUUGAGACAGCUUAGUAGGCCGACGACCUGCUGAGUAUCUUACCUGUAAAAAUGAGACCCUUGAGGGGCCUCAGGUUGGGUACUGAAAAAGGGGGCGUCCCAUAAUCACUUGGCACUCUUGAAAAUUUAGGCCAGUAUGCAAGAAGAAACUGGGUCAGCUAGUCAGAUGGCAGCAUGACCGGGAUAAAAUUAAAACUCAAGAGCCCAAGCAAAUCAACUUUUUUUCCCCAUAAACUGCAGCCAAUAUACUAUGCUUUCAAAUC